GAAAUUUCCUUGGAGUGAAAAUGAAAAUAUUGUUUAUUUUAGUAGUUGUCUUGUAUGCUGUUCACUACCCUAGUUCUUUAGAGGAGCUUCGUGCUAUGGGAUAUCGAAGCAGUGCAUCUUAAUCCUGCAGAUUUGGUUUUAUAAAUUAAAGAUUAUGUCGUUUGUUCAAAGCAUGAAUAUAAACUAUAAAUAAAAAUGUA